rnacentral:misc_RNA from 1 species
AGGGGGCCUUCAUGUCCUUCUCUAGGGUUCAAUAUAUGUUCCAUUCUUCCUCUUUCUUCCUCAACUAGCUCUUUUCAGUCUGUCUUAAUCUUAUUAAAAAAAGGAGAGAGAUUGAGGAGUUUUUGUUUAGCGGGUGAAAAUGCCUUCUUCAGAUAAUCGUGGUUCUUCGAUGCCAUUUGCCUCAUUCCGUCGUUCAAUUAUGAGUAUAAGAAGUGAACAGGUUCAUUCCGUGGAAUUGAAUCAUGAUUCUACUGUUCAGGAGAUUGAGCAGGGAGUAUUUCAGAAUCUAGUGGCUACUCGAUUUCAGGAACUGUCGGUUGCCUCUGGUGAUGAAUUCCUUUCCAUUGCAUGGGUUCGAAAGUUAUUAGAUGUGUUUAACAGUUGUCAGGAAGAGUUCAGAAUCGUGUUGAGCAACAAUAAGGAACUCCUCGUGAAAUCGCCUCAAGAUAAGCUUUUGUCUGACUACUUCGAUAGAACUAUAAAAGCACUUGAUAUUUGCAAUGCUGCCCGUGAUGGAACUGGGAAGAUUCGACUCUGGCAGAAGCAUUUGGAAAUUGUGGUUUCUUCAUUGGAUUCUCGACAAAAUAUGAUUGGCGAUGGUCAGCUCCGUCGAACUAGAAAGAGUCUGAUGGAUUUGGCUAUUGUGAUGCUAGAAGAGAAAGAAACUGGAACAGUUCUUUCCCAGAGGAACCGUUCUUUUGGACGCCAUAAUAAAACCAAGGAUCACCAGCGUCGUCCUUCUGGGCACUCAAGGUCUCUAUCUUGGAGUGUAUCUCAAUCUUGGUCAGCAUCUAAACAGCUCCAAUCAAUUGCAAGCCACUUGGUUCCUCCCCGUGGACAUGAAAUAGCUGCAACAAAUGGAAUAGCAAACCUUGUCUUUACAAUGAACUUUGUUCUCCUGUUUGUACUGUGGGCUCUUGUUGCUGCAGUCCCUUGUCAAGAUCGAAGCCUCCAAAUUCAUUUUUCUAUCCCAAGGCAGUUCUCAUGGAGCAAUGCCCUUUGGUUGCUUCAUGGUAGGAUAAUGGAUGAAGCUAAGAAGCCAGAGCGCCGUAAUUCAAAUGGAUUGUUGAAAGAAAUAUAUAAGUUAGAAAAAUGUGUCCAUCACUUGACGGACUUGAUAGACUCUGCUCAAUUACCAUUGACCAAGGAUCUGAUGGAAGAAAUAGAAAAGGGUGGAAAAGAUUUAUCAGCUGUCUCUGAAGUUCUCAAGACUGGCCUUACUCCACUAGAACGCAAUUUAAAGGAAGUAUUCAGAAAAAUUAUGAGUUGCCGGGCAGAGGGUCUUGAACUCCUGGGAAGCGCAAAUCAGCCUUAGAAUAUAUGUCGUCUUCAAGUUCUAACAAAAUGAAAAAAAAAAACAUAUAUACAUUCCUAUUUUGGUUUUGCUGGUAUUAAAGAAGUAAAAAAGGAAACAAAUGUAGCAACUGUGGUUUUAGCAGGUAACUGUUUGUAUGCAUUACUAUACCUUAUGUAAAACUAGUUUCCAUUUUCAUGU